CGUGACCAACGAAAAUGCAGCCCUGGAGGCGGCGAGAAGUGUCCUUCGGGCAGGACUAGUGGGGAGUCCCGCGGGGCUCACCCCAGAAGGGAAGCCUCGAUCUUUUCACAUGCGGGCUCUCAGCCUUGCUUUCCCACUUACCUUCCCAAGUAGGGAUCCCCUAGAACGCGACCCGGCCCGCCUGCUGGAAGGGUAAAGCGGGGCGCCUCUGAGCCUCCGCCUCGCGGGGGGGGGGCGGGGGCGGGGUGGGCCAGGUCCACCGGCAAUUCAAAGCCGGGGCGGGGCGACAGCACUGGAGGCGUGGCUCUGCCUGCGAGCCGUUGGGGAAGGAAGCCCCGCCUUCUUCCUGCCUUAUUUGUCCUACUGCUGUCUUUCUCGGGAUUCUUUUCUCUGCCUUCUCCCUCUCCCAGAGAAUGGAAGGGCGGGGGAAGGAGAAUGCUCGGCGCCUGCGCGCUAGCCCGAAGCCGCGGAUCGGCCCGUCGAGAGCGACGGUAGAGGGCCUGGCGCGUGCCCGGGAAAAGGCGGGAAACGGAAGAGGCUCGAGGCUCGCGCAUGCGCACACAGUCAACUGCGGACGGGGCGUCGGAGGAGAGGCUACCUCGUUGGUGUGUGGAGCGCGUCCCUUGAGACUGGGUUCCGGAGCCUGCAGAAACAGCUCUUCAUCCUCAGCGCCAGAAAAAACAGACCUCAAACCCUCCCUUUCCAUCCUGACCCCCCUCCCUUCCCUCCUGAAGCACACGAGCAGCCCUGGUCCUGAGAGACAUCAUUACUCUCUUCAGAGCCCUGAGAGAGACGGCCCAGCUCUUCCGGGAGGGACCGGCCUCUCAGCGGAGGCCACCAUUGCCGGCCCUUCGGACGACGCGGCCGUGCCGGAGCCCCUCAGCUUCUGGACCAGGGCUGCCUUGGCUCCCCUCGCGCUGCUUCAACAACUAACCGCUCAUUCCACGGACGAGACUUUGCGUGCCCCCUUCUGCCUGAGCGCGGUGGAGCUGGAGCCUGCCCCCCCCCGGCGGCACCAUGGCCUGCGUCAGAGGGGGAAGCAGCGCUGGCGGCUUAGCGGAGUCCCGGGCCCGGCCCGCUCCCAUACUGCUCCCCGCAACUCUCCCUUCGUCCAGCCUCAACCUUGCCCGAGACUUCGGCAGACCCCGCAGCCCCUCUCCCACGCCACCCUUCCUGAGAACACAAGCCCCAGGCCACCGAGCCUGGCUGGACUGGAGGCGGCCUGGCAGGGGAGCAGGUGCCUCCCUGCCCGCCCGGGGCGACCUGGAGAGCUCAAGGAUCCCCGAGGCCCGACUUUCCACCUGGUGGGGAUGGAAACGGCGUGAGGAUGAGGAAACUGAGGCACAGAGAGAGCAAAUGAAAUGCCCAAGUUCACAAAGACCAGAACAUCUACCUUGAGCUGUGGAUCCCUAAGAAGAAAGGUCUGAUCCAACAGCUGGUCUCAGGGUCCAUAGAUGCCUGAUAAGGCCCCUGGGUGGAGGAGACAGGCCUGUACCUGCAGACAGACCUUGUAGGAUUGUGAUCUGCCUGUGUGACUCUGAUUCAAUGUCUGCGUCGCCCUGUGCCUCUGUUUCCCCUCAAUAAAAUCAAGUAAAUGGUCUCAGGCUUGCUGUGUUGUCUGUAAUUAACCUUAGAUCUUUCACAAUUACCUGACCUAAGGCUUGGUAUAGAGGAGCUGCCCAGAUAAACAUCUGUUUCUUGCCUCCAUGAGAGACGGCUCCCUGGGCCUGAUCCCUGGUGUGGGAGUUGCUGCCAGGAGCAUCUUCUCUCCUCUGUUCCUCCCUGGGGGUGCUGACCUUCCUCGGGGGUCUCCUAUCCCCCAGGGCAGUCAGACAGUGGCCCAGGGACCUUGCCUAUCUCUGCUCUCCACCCCAAGUCUCAGGUGAAGGACCAGGCUCUGUCCCUCCCCAGAUGUGGCUCUUGGUGCCGAGCUCUGGCUGGUGACCAGCUCAGUAACCUCAGGACUCAGGCAGCCAGGAAAUCAUUGCUCCCUGUCCCCCCUGCCAGGAAGCCAAAACCCACAUCUGGCAUGGACUCCCCAUAGUCACUGGAGUCAGGAGCCCUGAGUCAGGGAUCUGGGCAGGGGCUUUCUGGGCUGAGCUUCUCCGUGAGGAUCCCAUGGGUCCCUCAGGCCUGGCCCUGAGUGAGCCCUGAAGGGUCUUUCUCAGAGUCAUGGUCACGGGGAGGAGCCCAAGGGGCUGGACUGAAUCUGUCUCCCUCUGCUGAGUUAUUCCCAUCAGACUGGUCCUUCUCUUUGCAGCAAAUGUCUGCUGGGGCUGGAAUCCAGGAAGGGAAUUCGGAUCUUAGGAAGUUUGUCUCCACUGUGUGUGUCCUGCACUAAAUGCUUGAACCCUCCCUCCUCCCAACAAAACGUAAUGCAGAGAAGGGGAUGGAGGCCCUGUGAAUCUUGUUGUGUGAAGUAGAAUUCACCCCACUCAACACCAGAGGCGAGAGAGGAAUUACUCACGGAAUACACGUAGCUGUCCUGUUACUUGUUCAAUUUGAACAUCUCUCUUUGUGAUUUGUACAGUGUAGUAUCCUGUGUCGUUCAGGGUGAUGUUCUGGAACAGCAGGGAUCCAUUGGGGUAUAUUGUCUCUCUGCCGCUGUGUGCAGGCCCUGGGGUAGUUACUUGUGUGUCUACUGCAUAUAAUACAAUUUGAUGUCUGGGCACUACAGUUUCCCCUUUGAACCAGUUAUAGCCUAUAGCAUCCCCAGGCGGAUUGUUGACUCGCAGAAGAACAUCCUUCCCUUCAGCCACACUGGGCGGCACCGAUUCCACAGUGACUUGGGCAGUGGUGGGCGGGUUCCAGAAGGUUAAGAGUGAGACUAGGAGGUAAGAGAGUAGAUGGAUCAGUGUUUGGACCUAUGUGUUGGGAGGGAAAGCUAGGGCCCUGGAGACAGAGCAGGUCCUAAUCCCCCAGCCUCAGUGUGUCUGUGUGAGUGUGUGUCUCCUGCUGGUCAAGGUCAGCAGCAUGACCACACUACUUCAGCGCCUCUGAACUUAAUUUCCUCUGUUUAGAACGCUCACCCUCACAUGUCUGUCGCUCACUCCCUCCCUGCCCUCAGAUACCUGCUCCCACUCAGGGGGUCCUGGGGAGAGGCCUGCCCUGAGUGCCUCCUCUAAAGACCCUCAGUCUUCACGUUCUGACCUUUACCUGCUCUGUUCCCUUCCUGGUGCUUAUCAGUACCUGACAUCACAUUCUAGACGUCUCUGCGUGUCUGUCUUCCUCCCCAUAGAAGUGAGCUUGGGGAGGGCAGGGACUCCUCUGAUCUGUGCUGUACCCCAGGGGUGGGGCAGGCUGUAAAUACCCGGGGAUGAAUGAAGGUGGCCCCAGGGCUCUCCAAGUCUGGCGUUUGUCUGUCAUGAUCUCAGGUUGGUGGGAAGGGGCAGCGAUUAGGGUCCCUGGUUGUUGUGAUCAGUUUCAGAAUUCAGUCCUCAGUGAUGAGUAACUUGGGAAACAGCCCUUGGCUCCCCACUUCCAGAUCAUGAGAUUUUCCCGUCGCUGAGCCGGCUCCCCCGUCCUGCCCUGCUCCCCUGUCCCCUCUCAGAGCCCUGUCCUCCCCGGAAGACCCCAGCCAGCCUCUCUCUCCCAUCCUCCCGCCCCCUCGCAGGGGAUCAUCCCUCUCACCUGCCAGCAGGACCUCCUGCCAGGGGACGCGUCCUCCUCGGGGAGGGGCCGACGGGGGCUCCAUGGUGCCUGCUGCCCGGUCCGUCCCUCCCUCUGGGGGAAGAGCUUCUGCUCCAGCAACGCUCAGGAACACUGCCGUCCUGUCCUGUCAGCUCUGCCGUCCUUCCUCCCUCUGAGCUGAGCGGCCUCUGGGGGCAGGAGCGCUGGGCGGGGUCACGUGGGCCGGGGGCGGGGUCUCUGCCAGGGCCCCGCCCCUCCCCUCCCCUCCCCUCCCCUCCUCUCUCGUCUCAUCCUCUCCCCUCCCUCCUGACUCCCUUGUCCUCUUCUUCCCCUUUCAUUUCCCUCUACAUUUUAGAUCCCUGGGAACAGCUGAGGCCUCUCCGUCUUCAGCUGUGCUUUCCCGCCAUAUGCGAGAGCGCGCACACGCCCUUGUUGGACAAACACAAGCCUGUGGCGGCGUCCGGUGACCCUCACAGCUCGGGGUCAGGGUGCAGGGUCAGCGCCCCCACAGCCCUCUCUCCUCCCCGUGUGGCUUUCCCUUCAGAGCAGGAGCCUGGGCGCUGCCUCAGGAACUCUUGUCACAGGGAUGUCACCCCCACUUUGCGCUGGAAUCACCUGUGGAACUUUAUCAAGACUGUGGUUGCCCAGGUGACACUUAGAAAUGCUGCUUCCGCAGAUGCCCAGCCGGGCUGAGACCCCAUGAUGUGGGGGUGGGGCCGCCUCUCCCUCUCCUGAGCCCACAGAGGGUCUGCAGAUGCUGUGAAAAUGCAGAUUCUGACUCAGCAGGUGUGGUGUGGACCCCAGAGUCUGCCUCUAACAAGCUCCCAGGUGAUGCUGAUCGUCCUGGCCCGGGGAGCACACUCUGAAUAGCCAGACAGAGGGGGACCCGGUUUCCUUACAGGAUGGCCCUUCUCCCUACUCCUCUGCUGAGUCCUGGCCUUGAGUCUGUGGGCACCACACAGAGCCCCAGGGACCCCAAAUCCAGGGGAUUAUUUCUGUUGUAACAGAGAAGCCCAGCUGGGCACCAGUCUCCCCAGAUGACUCUGGGGAUGAGGAAGGGGCAGGCCGGGUCAUGAUGAGUGAGGGACCCACGGCCCAUCCCUGGGUGUCCCCAUCCUGGCCUCUGCUUCCAGGGACAGAGACCCAGGACCAGGUGUCUCAAGAGCUCAGUUUCCAGGUGCAGUGGGGGUUUCCUGUGUGUCCUGGGAAGAGAGGAGUUGGUGGGAGGUCAGGUGGCUGGGGCUCCCUGGUCCUCAAAAGGGUAGGUUUUGAGGAGACCAUCCCUCUCCGUGUCUAUUGGCUGAACUGUGGCCCAGAGACUGUCCAUGUGCCCCUGAGCGUCCUGGGCAGCCUGUGUGCUCUGCCUGCGGGACUUUCCCGUGGUCACCCUGCCUCCCCCAUGGGUGGUACAAGGCAAUGAGCGAUGGCUGCGCAGGGACCCUUGUCAGAUCAGGGAGCUCCUAGGGCUCUAGAAGGAGCGGGCAGGACAGAACUGGCACGUGGGAGGGAUCCAGAAGGGUCUGUUGCAGAAAGGGAUGGAAAGCAGGCUCCUUCUCCACCUCCUUAGCCAAAGCCAGCUUCAGGGUUUAAUUUCCUGUGUUGUCUGCAUGUUCCUAUGUUGGCCCCUGGAGGCGAUGCUGGGGGCUGCACCAGGGAAGUGUGAGCUGACCAGGCUCCCAAGGAUGUGUGUGGGCUGGGAGCCUGGGCAGAGGUGAGGGACUGGUCAGCCUGGGUCCUGGUCUGCCUGACUCCAUCCCAGGGCAGCAUGAGCCCAGGGAGAGGACAGGUAGUAUUCAGAAGAUUCCUGAUCCUGUGUCAGGAGAAUUGUCAACCCAGAGAGAUAUGCUCCCUCAGCAGGAGCUCUCUGUCCUCAAGAUUUCAAGGAAUGACCUUGUAGGGGUCUUUUGAGACUUUGGGGAAAAGGCACCAGCCUGGGCGGCUGAACACCACCAUGCUCUGUCUCCCCAUCACAGCACUGGGGAGAUUCCUUCCAAGUCAUCUGUGUCCCUGUCUCUGCUCUGCUCUAGGUCUCCCCACAGGAAUCAGGCGGCUCCACCCGGAGACUCAGCUGAGGGAUCCCAGGGCUGCCUCUGUGAAAGGGGAGGAGACCCUCAGACCAGGGGAAACACAGGCACAUCCUGGGUUCUUCUGUCCUGCAUACCCGGGACAUUCCCCUCGUUCCCCAGGAUUCCUUGGGCUAAUGAGAAAUUUUCAGGGAGACAUAGCAGGUGUCCCCACAGACCAGGGGCCCUCAGGAUGAGGACUUGCCUCUGGACGUGUUUGGAGGUCAGUGUAGGGCUCUGAACUCCCCUGGUAGUAAUUGCACCUGGGGUGGUGAUCCAGAAUUUGUGGCAGGUCAGAUCUCUGAGAGAAGAGGAAGGACACAGGCUGCACACCCAGGCCCUCUGGGGAGAGAAGUCAGUCACAGAGAUGGGAGGGGCGUGUCCGUGUUCUGGGAAUGAAUGGGGGUCUGACCUCUAACUGUAGGGGGUCUGACCUCUAACUGUAGGAGGCCCCUGUCGUCCCUUCUGAAUCUAGGAGGGGGAAAGGCCCGACAGCCUUAUAGGGACAGCCUCGGGCACGUGCUGCCCCCCCCCCCAUGUCAGCAGCCUGGGUCUGCGGGGAAGAGGCUCCGACCCCAGGUGAAUGGGGGUGACUUCCAUUGUGUGGUUUCCCUCAUGCUUUCAAGGACUAUUUACAGCGCUUCUGUGACGUGUCAGGCCCUGGGCUGGGUCCUGGGAGCUCCACAGAGAACAGGACAGAUGUGGGCCCUGGAUUCGUGGGGUUUCCCUUGGAACAGGGCCACGGGCAGUCAGGAAAUCAUGGCACGAGGAGUCAAUUAGAAUCAAGAGAAGGGCCAGGAAGGGAAAGUGCCUGGUGGGUCUGGAGCAUGUGAGGGGCUCUUAGCUGAUGGGGGUACCCAUGGAGCACUCCUGAGAAAGUGACCUGGGGCUGAGACCGGAAGUGUGAGUGGACCUUCGCCCCUCUAAGGGCAGAGGGUGUGGAGGGACUAGUUGCCCAUAGAGGGACCAGUCUCAGCGGGCAGAUGCCUGGCUGGCUAGAGGGGCUGACGGGGUCCAGUGUGGGGAGCCUGGAGAGCCAGGAGGACGGUGACUGGGUGAGGCUGGGGAGGGUCAGACCCCGCUGGGCUGUGGGUGCUGAGGAAGGCGCCCAGGUGUAGAGCAGCUCUGCCGCCCUCUGGUGGACUGUGCAGAAAAUGCGGAAGAAAAAGUCCCUCUAUCCAGUUGUAUCUUUUUAAAAAUUUGUACUUGAAAUAAUAUUUCAUAUAUGGAUGUAUAAUUUUUAAUCACUUUAUUGAAGUAUAGUUGACAUAUAAGUAAUUCAACAUAUUGAAAGUAUACAAUUUAAUAAGUUUUGCCACGGGCAUGCAGAGAUGUCAUUCCUAGGUGAAGAUAUAUGCCCCUUCUUCUCAAAAAUCUCGUGUCCUCUUUAUUCUCUUCAUUCCCACCCCUUUGACCCUCCUUCCCCAUGUUCCCAUGAAACCUUAUAUUUGUUUUGUUGUUAUAGAUUAGUGUGCAUUUUUUAGAAUUUUGAGAAGUGGAAUCAUACACUAUAACUUAGGGCUGGGUUUGAAUUCUUUACUCAGGAUCAUUUUUCUUAAUUAACCCAUUGCUCCAUGUUAUUGCAAGAAUCCACAGUUUUUCUUCUUUCUUUUUUUUUAAGAUUUUAUUUAUUUAAGAGACCAAGAGAGAUAGCGAAAGACGGAACACAAGCAGGGGGAGUGGGAAAGGGACAAGCAGGCUUCCCGCUGAGCGGGGAGCCCGAUGCAGGGCUUGAUCCCAGGACCCUGGGACAGGGCAGGCGCUUAACAACUGAGCCACCCAGGCGCCCCCAAAGUGUUUUUUUCUUUUUUAUCCCUUAGUUUUGUUACAUUGGAAGGAUGCAGAAAGUUUUUUUUUAUUCAUUCGCUCAUUUAUGGACAUUUAUGUUGUUUCCAACUCUGGGCGAAUACAAAUACACCUGCCAGGAACUUUUGGGCAGGAGUCUUAGAAGCGGGCAUGUGCUUUCAUUUCUCUUGGGUAGAGUUCCACUCAGGAGUGCAGUGAGGGGAUCACUAAGGAGGCACACAUUUAA